CCUACGGGAGGCAGCAGUGAGGAAUAUUGGUCAAUGGACGAGAGUCUGAACCAGCCAAGUAGCGUGAAGGAUGACUGCCCUAUGGGUUGUAAACUUCUUUUAUCUGGGAAUAAAAUGUUCCACGUGUGGGAUUUUGUAUGUACCAUAUGAAUAAGGAUCGGCUAACUCCGUGCCAGCAGCCGCGGUAAUACGGAGGAUCCGAGCGUUAUCCGGAUUUAUUGGGUUUAAAGGGGGCGUAGGUGGAUUGUUAAGUCAGUUGUGAAAGUUUGCGGCUCAACCGUAAAAUUGCAGUUGAAACUGGCAGUCUUGAGUACAGUAGAGGUGGGCGGAAUGCGUGGUGUAGCGGUGAAAUGCUUAGAUAUCACGAAGAACUCCGAUUGCGAAGGCAGUUCACUGGACUGCAACUGACACUGAGGCUCGAAAGUGUGGGUAUCAAACAGGAUUAGAUACCCGUGUAGUC
rnacentral:rRNA from 1 species